GCCAAAGUGCCUCUCAGAGCACAGUGGGGCUGUGUGGGCUGAAGGAAUUUGGGGCAAAAGGGAGAGAAUUUCUUAAGGUUGUGAAGGUGCCUGAUCCAAACCUUGAUAAACCAUCACCUAUCAGGUCUUGGGGAACGAAAAUUUGAGCUGGGAGCCCCUCUCUCUGCUUUCUUCGUGUGUCCUGACCCCUGGUGAGAGGAAUGAGCAAUCCCCCUUGUGACACACACAAUCUGGGAACAAAGUAUCCAGACAGAGUCCUGUCAAAAUAAUGGCAGCCGUGCAGUCUCUGGAACAUUCAACUGCCCUCCAGUGCAGCCAGCAGUGUGGGCAUGUUUUAAAACCUUUGAGGAGUAUCUUACACAUGCCAUAUCAACAGCAAAAUCUGUUGCAGAAAGCUUCCAGAACAUUGCUGCUGGGUCUUUGAACAUGCCUGAGGAGGAGUGGCAAUGCCAUGAGUGCUGGCUACUGGAGACAUCUUUCUGGGGGGAAGGUUGCUUCCUCCUCCAAGUUGAACACCUUCCAAAAUACGUCAUCCUGUACAUAAUGUAAUUUGAUUUCUGACACUUCUGAAAUAUUUGGUCAUGGAUGCCUUUAGGUGGUUCUGUUGUUCUUCUGGAAGACACCUGUCUGGAAGACACUUAUCAUUGCUCUGUGAACAGAUAAUGAGACAUCUGAAAUGGACACUAAUUUUUCUGUUGUAUCUUAUUCAGUUGGAAAAUAUUUAAAAUAUCCCAUUAUUUUUAAAUGGACAUUUCUUUCACCAAAGGGGAAGUGUUCUUACAGAGAUCACUGGACAAUAUGAAUGCCCUUCUUCAGUAAACUACAAAACCUACAAAGC